rnacentral:rRNA from 1 species
GAUGAACGCUGGCGGCGUGCCUAACACAUGCAAGUCGAACGAAUCAGAUAUUCAACACUGAGCUUUUAGACGAGGGAAUAAAGUUAGCCAGCAUCAAGGACGAACGAUAGAGAGUCCUUUGCGCGUUAAAAAGUGUGCUAACACAGAGUUGUCUGAAUGUUGAGUGUUGAAUAUCUGAUUAGUGGCGGACGGGUGAGUAACGCGUGGGGAACCUGCCCUAUACAGGGGGAUAGCCUCGGGAAACCGGGAUUAAUACCCCAUAAAACUCUAGUAUCGCAUGAUACGUGAGUCAAAGCUGAGGCGGUAUAGGAUGGCCCCGCGUCUGAUUUAGCUAGUUGGUGAGGUAACGGCUCACCAAGGCGACGAUCAGUAGCCGGCCUGAGAGGGUGACGGCCACACUGGAACUGAGACACGGUCCAGACUCCUACGGGAGGCAGGCAGUGGGGAAUAGUUGCACAAUGGGGAAACCCUGGAUGCAGCGACGCCG